AUUGAACGCUGGCGGCAUGCCUUACACAUGCAAGUCGAACGGCAGCACGGGAGCAAUCCUGGUGGCGAGUGGCGAACGGGUGAGUAAUAUAUCGGAACGUGCCCGGUCGUGGGGGAUAACGUAGCGAAAGCUACGCUAAUACCGCAUACGAUCUACGGAUGAAAGCGGGGGAUCGCAAGACCUCGCGCGAUUGGAGCGGCCGAUAUCAGAUUAGGUAGUUGGUGAGGUAAAGGGCUCACCAAGCCGACGAUCUGUAGCUGGUCUGAGAGGACGACCAGCCACACUGGGACUGAGACACGGCCCAGACUCCUACGGGAGGCAGCAGUGGGGAAUUUUGGACAAUGGGCGGCAAGCCUGAUCCAGCAAUGCCGCGUGCAGGAUGAAGGCCUCGGUUGUAACGUA
rnacentral:rRNA from 1 species